AUGACUUGGGUGCAUUUAGUAUAGGGUAGUACAAGAAGGUGAGGUUCAAAACCAUGGCAAUGAUGAAACAAAAGCACGAGAAGUAGAAAAAUGCUGUAUAGACAGUCAAGUGUGGAACUCCAUCUUUGAGAGUAUGCCAUUGAUCAUUUGUGGCUAGGUUGAAUGCAGGCGAGAACAUAGAGAAGCAAAUCCCAGCAAAGAAUGUUAUGGUCAAACCAAUUAACGUGCCCUUCCCGAGAACCUGUAAACAUACACGAAUUUAACAAUUAGGAUGUAACUACAAUAUGCUUCACAAAAACAUUAGUAAGUUAUUCUGUUGUUGUUUGUUACACUUAGUCUAGUUAGAGACUUAAAGGUAAGUAUAGCGAUAAAGUGUGAGCACGAAAAUGCAAUAAGAAGAGAAAUUCCAACCUUGAUUGAUCUCGUAUUCUCAAGUUCUAUAAGGAAAGCCGCAGUCCCAAAUUUUGCCUUCUCAGAAGCAUCUCCAUCCUCCAAACCAUUUGUACCACCUGAUCGGAUAUUCAGUAUUGUGAAACGUUAUAAAUCAAUUUUAGAUAUAGGAAUCAUAUUUUGGAUGCUCAAGCUCACAAUACCUUGAUUAAAAUUUGUUGGUUUGAAGGAAGUAACUCCAUUAGUCCUGCAAAUGUGCAAUUAAGUUGGACAUGAAUUUUCUGCGAUUAUUGAUCAAGUUCUAUAACAGCGUAGACGUAUAUAUAUGCCUGACAGAAUUUUAGUACAUAUAAUUAUAUCCUGCACUUUUUACUCUUAUAACUAGAGGAACAUGAGAAGACACACAAAGAGAUGAGGAAUUGUAUUUAGUUCAUCACAUGCAAGUCAUCUAGCUCUACACUAAUACAUGAAAUCAUUACGACAACCUAAAGCCCAAAAAAAAGUCGAUUUCCUUGAAAUGAUCAGAAGAAAGGAAACCAUAAACAUUGUAGGAAUUAAAGGCAAGUAUGAUAGAAUACUGAUGCAUACCUGACUCCGUCUUUACAGUCAUUUGAAUAGUUAUCAAGCUUGGUUUUGUUAUCAGCGUUGUUGGACGAAUGAACAGCAGAGCCUAAACAAACGGCAACCAAGAAGCAUGCAACUCCAGAAAACAGAAUUUCAGCUUUGUUAAUUUUGUCGUCAAGGUAAUAAUUCAAGGUUGUUCCUGUCAUAAUUAAAGGAAUAGCACAUGUCAUCUUUCCAACACCUUGUACUGGCUUCAGGAAAACAGAAAUUGCUGAAGUUAAAAUGAUACCUAUAACAACUGUAAUACUGGCAGAGACAACUUCAGUGACUGACAAACCAACGAAAGCAAAAGCAUAUUGAGUUGAGAGGUUCCCGAGGCUGAGGACCAUCCCUCCAGCCAUUGCAAACAAGACACUGGGCCAAUUAUCCUGCAAUGUUCAUUGAUAAAAGCACAUAUCUAUCUCUAUUAAAAAGUAAUAGGAGCACAAGUUAGUGCGGCAUAUCAAUCAGAAGUAUAUGCUAUCUCGGAAGAGAAUAGUAAUCUAAUUUGCUUUUUUUACAUUUUAUCGUGUCAAAAAGGUGCCUGUAUACAUUCCAUUUUCCAAUCGUAGCCCGGUGAAAUAAGCUCCCUCUACGCACGGGGUUCUGGGGAAGGGCAGACCAUAAGGGUCUAUUGUACGCAGUCAUGCCCUGCAUUUCUGCAAGAGACUGUUUCUACAGCUCGAACAGGUGAUCUCCUAGUCACAUGACAACAACUUAACCAGUUACGUCAAGACUCCCCUUAACCAUUUUCCAAUUGAACAAUGCAUUAAAUCAAAUAUAAGAAACAUAAUCCUAAAAACUACAGCUGGUAUAUUAGCUUUGAAGGGAACUAACCUGAGAGAGUUGAGUGAGAAAAUUAGGCCUUUCUGGUGUGCUUGGCCCAAACUGACCUAUGGUUAAAGCAAUGAUGACAGCAGCCAAGAGAUUGGUAAUGGUAUAAUCAAGAUAAGUAUGUUGAGGAAGACGACCUCGCCUUUCGAGUAAAGUCAAUAGAGCUGGCCAUGUCCCUAACAAUAACAAAGAAAAUAGCAUACAAGCUAUAGCACCACCUUUGCUUUCAACCAUAUACAUCUUGAAUCUACUGGAUAAGACCCUUUCUGGUGAAAAAACUGCCAACUUGGUAAGGCUCCAAUAAUCCUAUCCAAAGAAGAAAAGGACCAAAAAAAGAGGAAGAUUACAACAACAUACCAGUGUAAAAUUAGAGUGUACGCAAACCUUACCUCUACCUCAGAUAGAUAGGUUGUUUCCAAUAGACUCUCAGCUUAAACUAAGCAUAGCAAACAUUAAAGUUUCAAUCUUUUAAAUUGAUACAACAGAUUAACACAUCCCAAAUUCAUUGUCUGCAUCAAUGGAAGUAGAGAAAAGAAAAUCAGCAAAACAGCUCCUCCACUGCCAUGGGGCCCACAUCCCCAUAGACAGGGAGCUUAUGUUUGUCAUAUACAUAUCUGUCUGCAUCCUAGGAAACCACAAAGACAGAAACUUUACUCACAAAAUUCCCUAAAAACUUGAAAACAAAUGUAUGAACAACCUGAAUAUAGCAUAAACAACAACAACAUACAUGGUCUAGUCCUACAAAGUGGGUCUCGAAAUGGCAAAGUGUAUGCAAAUCUUAUACCUAGAAAUUUUCUAUCUAAAAGUAAACAAUUGACUACAAAAUUAUAGCUUUCAGAAACCAUUUCCACAUAAAAAUCAAAUCUUUCUUCUCAAACAUGAAAAUCCAAUUUACUCACCAUAUCAUAUUGCAAAAGGGUAUCAAGAAUCUUUAACAAAAAGAAAAAUAAAAAAACACAAAAAAAGUGAACAUUUCUUUGGACUUAACCACCAUUUGGGCCACCAAAUAUCCAUUAUUUUCUUAUCAAACGAAACAAUCAUUCACCAUGUCAAAAGGGUAUGAAGAACUUAUUAUAAAAAUCCCAAAAAAACUGAAUCUUUAAACAAUAAACAAUAUCAACAAACGUGCAAACACAAGCAACAUAAAGGAAAAAAUAAAAAAGAUUUGAUUUUUACUUUAUCACUACAAAGAAAAAGAUAGAUCACCAACCUAUUAUCAGACCCCACCAAAAAAUUAUCAAGAACCCCACUUUUAACAACAAUGGAACUUCAAAAUGAACACCAAAAUUUGAAUGUUUUUAAAGAAGAAGAGGCAAAGCAAAGAGUGAUUUGGUAUUGGGAAAAUGGGAAGCAAUGAGUUUUUUCCCUUUUUGGUAAUUCUGAACAGAGUGUAUAUAUAAAUUCCCAUUAUAUUUUGGGACUUGAAUAUCAACUAAGAUUUAUAACUCAAUAAUGAUUGUUGUUAUUCUUAGCUGUGAUUCAGGUUGUCAGAAUUUUUUAUCCGUUUAAUGACGGAGUUAAAAUUUUCAUAUAUAAAAAAUAAAGUACACAAAAUGUGGACAAAUUACGGUAUAACUCUCUUCGUCCUGUUGUAUAUGUCAUUUCGUUGGUUUAUAAUACUUCAUAAAAUUAAUGCAUAAAUUAUCAUACAAUUUUUUUAUCUUUGUGAAUUAUUAGUCUGAAAAAUAUACAUUUGAUCAACUUUAAAAAAAAGUAAGUAAAUAAUUUGUGUUCACAGUUUAAAUUAAUUAUUUAAAGUGAAUUAAUUCAUAGCCGUUAAUGGUAAACUUGAGUUUCAAAAAAAAUAAAUAAAGAUAAAAAUAUAAAAUUAUAUCAUUUCUCAAUGUAAGUGUAAACUAAAAAAAUAACAUAUAAAUCAAGACGGAGAAGUAAUAUCUUGGGAGGUCAAAUUACAUGUGGACAAUUGUCUAUGCUACAAUGUACCUAAAUGAAGGGUCAAUGAUCGAAAUAUAAAGUCGAUUUUGAUAUCGUUAUUUAAUAUAUGUUUAUAUUUUAUUAUAAAGAUUAUAUACGUAUAUUUUAACUUUAUCUAUUAUGUGAAAUUUUAAAUAUGAUAUAUUUGAGAUUAUUUUGGAAUGGAUACACAUUGAGAAAAAAUUAAAUAACGAGUAUGAAUUAAAUGGCAGUGUCAAAAUAAAAUAUAUAGCAGUCUCCUUAUUUAUUGGGUGAUUGUUGAAAGUUGAAAUAGAAAUUUAUUAUUUUUGUCUUUUUCUAGUGUUAGUCAAUGUUCUUUGUCAUAUAGUAUUUCUUUUUUGUAUCUUUAUUUUCAACUUAUUCCCCUUCAUUUUCAUUUUGGAAUUCAUAAUUUAUUAGUGUCUUUGGACUUAUUAUAACAAGAAGUUAUUAUUUUAGGUUUCAUAUUAAUAAGUUAAUUUUAACAAAAAGUCAAUUUUGUCAUGCCAAAUUUUCCACAACUUGUUUGCUGUGCAGUUCUUGUUUUAAGAUUGAGCUAAGUAUCUUGUUUCUUUCACAAUUCUCUGUCACAGCUUCAGUCAUCAGGAUGGAAGACUGAACGUCUACUAUCAUCAUCAGUCGUUUGGAGAGCAAAUUGGCUGGUAGAUUAUUCAGAUGGCAAACAUGACUAGUCCACUUCAAUACAAACUAAAAGUCAUCAAGUUUUAAGAAAAUAAGCAGACAAUGCUGCUACAAGCCUUCAUAUUCUGGUUAAAUUAUGUCACUUUUCAUGUCUCUAAAGAAAAUUAUGUGGUAGGGGAAUACCUUCUACUAAAGAUUUAAAUCGGGGUACAGUAGCCUGAUAAUCCUAGUCAUUUGGGCGGCUAUUGAAAGAGAAGCAUAUUCAACCUAGAACAUAGGGUCAUUCGGGAAUAUUACCUUCUGGCAUCCAUACACGAAGGAGCUGGUCAUAAAAUGAGCAAGUAGCGAUGACAUUAUUCUUCUCUAGACGACCUCUUUGCCAAUCUGCUCCAUAUGCCAGGGAGCCAUGUUUGUUAUAGGUUUCAACCACUUCAGCUUGAUCGCCUUUAACUUUGACAACUGCAAAUCCAUUGUGCAUACAAGCAGUCAAGACUAGGUCCAGUACAGAAGGAUGAUACUUAAUUCUCCAAACCCCUCCACCCAAGGAGAUUGACGUCUCAUGUACAGGUUUUGCGGUUGAUCUUACAUCCCAUACCCUUAGGUGUUCAUCAUAGCUACCGGUGAGUAAGGUAUAAGGGUCAUUUGGGCUCUUACUAAUGCAGCAAAUUCCCAUUGUGUGAACUUUUCUGUUUUGGAAUGCUAUGGUAGAGGGAUCAUCUCGCAAAUCCCAGCAACUAAAUUUGCAGUCAUCUGAACCUGUAUACACCAACUGUGGUUGGUGGAUAUCAUAAGAGGCAGCCCAAACUUCAAAGUCAUGCGCUUUCCAGUCUCUGGAAAUGCCCAGCUGAGACUCGAGGAAUGAAAUUAUCGAGACUGUUCCAUCUGAAAGCCCCACAGCAAGGGAUGUAGCUGAUGGAUUCCAGUCUAUACACAAACACAUAGAGGAACUGACAUGUUCGUCGCUUAUCUCCAGUAAACUAUUCCCUGUAAUAACAAUAAGAUCCUGUCAUGUUAGAGCUUCAGCUGUUUAUUAAAAAUAAAGUGCCAAAUGAAGCAAGGUACUUCAAGGACCACCAAUGCUAAAUGAAAAAGGGAAAAAGAGGUAGAUGGGAACAACAACACACCCAGUAUAACUUCUUAAUAGCCAAGUGAAAAAAAUCAGUUUCAAAUGAAGGUGGUUAUGAAGUUUGUAUUACGUCAAAGGUCAUUGAGACAUUGUCUAAUUCCUCCAAUCUACACAUUACUAAACUAUUUCCAUUAUCUCCUUUCUCCGUUACAUAUAACUGCUAUGAAGUACCUUCAACCUCAUACAAGUGUAUUCCAGUGCUUUUACCAAUAUAUUUUUAAUAAAAGCAACAAAAUGAUAUCUCCAAAAGCUACCUAUUCCUAAUCAUAUAGCAACCUGGGGGCUUCCUUAUAUGCCUCUAAUCCAAUACAACAACAUACUACACCUCGAUUCCAAGUUAGACUAGAUGCAUUUCUCAACAUACAUACCAGGAACUUGUGAUUCAACCAAACAAGAUUCAAGUUUGUGAACUCUAACAUAACCCUCAGCAUCAGCGUGAGCCAGUAAUGGCCCCACAAUUCCACCGAUAGGGCUCCAUUUUAUAUCAAAUAUACCAGCUGUUUGUACUCUAUGUAUCAAACUAAGGCGACUCGAAUUAGCAUCAACAUCAAACAGGGAUAUACUACCAGUUCUACUAGAUUGAUCUCCUUCUUGUAAAGUAUAAGUACAUGCUGCUAGAACAUUGUGAAAUGAUUCGUGUGGACAAAACUCCACAGCAUCAGCAUUUCCAUCAAGAUGGCAAUGACCUAUAUCCAUACCUGAAUAACAUAAACUACAAGAAUGAAUGAAAAAACAUGAAGUUCAAUUACACAUUUUGUCGAACAUGUUGUGAACUAGCACUUAGUUAGCAUUUCGCAGUAGAUUUUGGAUUCACUCAUAAAAGUUUCAAUCUUUACAACUAAAAAUGAGAAAUCGAAUUGAAAACUGGAAUUUUUCAGGGGCAAAACCGGAUUAUUGUUCAUUUAACUCUGUUUUUCAUCAGCAGAAAAGCAAAAUUAGAAAACAAAUUCACUGAGAAACAGAAAAUUGACUCACCGGAGUGUUUUUCCGAUGAUUUUUCCGAUCUGUAUGUGGUUAUGGCGGCUGCUUAGUUCACCGCGGCUUCAAAAAUAGUUCAAAAAUAGUCCUUUUUAAGUUUAAAAAAAUGUACUAAGGGAAUUAAAGUCUUAAAUUUUUUGAUGGGCCAAAUAAAUUCUUGUUUAUUUAUAAUUCAGAGACGAAAUUAAUAGUUUAUGUCUUUUUUUUUUACUAGUUCCCUUAUAAAUAUUUAUCGAAGAAAGAACAUACACUUUUUGUACUAUUUAUUAUUUUGAUUUAUUUCUAAAGUUUCUAUCGAGACUUUGAAAAAUUAUACUAAAUAAUAUUAUUUUAGAGUUUGACCUAAUAUUUUGAAGGUUUAUAUGUGAUAUUUUUCAUAUCUUUUGGUCCAGUGUAGUUCUUUUUUUUGUUGCAUUUUCAUGAUUUAAUAAAAGAGAUUGACAUUUACGAUUAAAAAAUUAUUAUUUUUAUCAAAUCUAACGAUUAUAAAUUGUUAAAUACUUCAUAAAAAAUAAAGUAUUACGAUAAAAACUUAAAAGAUACGAUUCAUUCUAUACUUAAAAGGACUAUUUUGAAUUCAUCUACAAAUAUAAAGACAAAUUAUUCAUGUCACUUCAUUUAAAAUCAUAACAUAUAAUAAUAAUUCUUUAUAAAUUGACUAGUUUACGCUGGUUAUUAGUCUCAUGGAUCCUAUUUUGCUAUAGUUUUGCAGCUUAAUAUAUAUAUAUAUAUAUAUAUACUAGUUUCUGGAUACGCGUCACGCGCGUGUGGCCAUAUAAAUAAAAAUAUUUUUGUGAAGAUUGUAUAUUAGCAAUAUUUUUAAGUUAUAUUAUGUGUUAUAAAAUAGAAAAUACAAAUUACAUGUUCUUAAAAUUGAUAAGCAUCCUAUAUGGUGUUUUUGUUUCUAAGAUUCCAAAUCCAAAAACUAUACAACUACAAUAUGUAAAUGAAUAAGUGAAAUGUUAUGUGCUACGUUAAUGAAAUAUGUGUAAAAUCAGUAACAUAUAGAAAUCUUUUAUGGUAAAAUUAACGUUGUGUAUUGCACAUAUUAACCCUAGCAAGGAAAUUAAAUAAUAAGUGUCAUGAGUGUAUUCUUCACUAAGAAAUUUCUUUGACGAAUCCAACAACAUCCAUAGCUGAAAUUCUUGCACAAAUUCAACAACGUUCAUAGCGUAUUUUAAUACCCUUUAACUUUGACAUUGAUUGAGAAAAAACUGCACAGAAAAAUAAUAUACUCUUCUUUAGAACCCAUAAAAAUGGUGAGGGGACUUGAGGAAAAUGAAAACUAUUCUUGGCUUUAUAUAAUACUUUCACUUAAAUGAUUAAUUAGUCCUUUUAGCUUCUUUUCAUGUAUUUAUCUUUGAAAAUAACAUAUAUUAAUAUAUUAACUAUGAGAUUCAUUGUAUUGAAAUCUACGACUUUUAAGAUUCUAGCAAUGUAAAGUUAACUGCUUCUGUAUUUUAGUUAAUUGUGCAACUUAAAUCUCUAACUAUUUGCUCUCAUUACUAACAUUUGUCUCUUCAUUUUCUUUAACAUUUAGAUUAUUUAAUUUUCAUAACUCUUCAAAUAUUCUCAAUUCAUUAAUAGUAAAAAAAGUUUACUGCUCAAUAUUUUUCAAAAAUAAAAUAAUCAAAUAUUAAUAUAAUAUUUUUAUUUGGUAUAGGAAUAAAAUGAUAAUUCACCUUUAUAUCUUGGAGCUUCCCAUUAUAAUAUAAUCUGAUAUAUAUAUAUAUAUAACCAUGAAAGAACUGAAUUUGACACAAUUAUUAGCAGGAACUCACACUUCAAAUACAUUCAAUAAUACAUAAGCCAAAUGAACAUUCUUCUAACUCUGUGUUGAGUAAAACACUUAUCAUAAAAACGAGAGGAGUUAACUAAAAUCAAUCCUCCUCUUUUCUCCGAUUAAAUUAUUGCUCUCUACUUUUAGGGGUCGCGAUAACAAGGAAAUGUAAACAUAAUGUUGGGUUUCAAAGGUGUAAACAAAAAAUGAAAGGUUGUGACUCUCCUGUAGGGAUGUCACUUUGCCGGAGGGUUGUGACCUUUAUUAAAGGUUGUGUCCUUUCUAAAGGGCUGUGACCGUUUGAAAGAUUGUGCCUUUUUCAAUGUGUUGUGACCUUUCUAGAAGGCUAUCUUCUUUCCUAAAAGUUGUGACCUUUACCCUUUGUUCGUUAUAAAUAGAGAAAUUGUCUCUCAUUUUUCAGAAUUGAAUUCUUCCCUUCUUUUGUAAACAUUUCUUACAAAACAAAAUCGAUCGAUCGUGUCUGUAUGUGUAAUUCGUUGCUGUCAUUUUGAGUUCGUUGAAAUUAUUGAAGUUUGAGGUACCGCUGCUUCUUUAAUGGUUAAUCCGUUUUAUCUUGGAAGGAAUCAAUCUGUAACCUCGAGUAUUUGAGAGGAUUAAAUUUCUGUGGACUCGGAUAUUUCUUUGUAUUUUUCUUUUCAUCUUUUAUUUCUUCUGGUUAAUUUAAAUACAUGAGAUAACACAUAAUAUGUACACAAGAACAUAUUCUUGGAGCUAUGCUAUAUCGCGCUAUUUGCGAUGCCCUGACGAUGCCAUGAGAACUGCAACAGCUGCUGUAAACAUUAACAACAUGCCUGCAAGAAGUGUAUAUGUUUUCCUUGAUGAUCUUCUGUAUUCUCCAAACAACAUCACCCCCAAAAUGUACUCACAAGAGGCAAUGCCUGAAAUUUCGACACAUAUUUCAAAUGAAUAUACAUAGAAUGAUAUACGAGUAAUCAAUCAGAUAAUAUAUACUCCCUAGUCCGUAUGCUACAUGCUAUGUGAAUCUAGAGUACGGAGUUUAAGAAAGAAAAAAAAAGAAAUCUGUGAAAACUUUAAGUCUUAAACAUGUCAUGAUGACUGAUGAGGUUUGUGUGUGUCUGUAAAGUCAUGUCAUCGGGUAAAAUAGGACGUUUGAAGUUAAAUUGUUUCCAAAUAUAGAAAGACGACAUUUUUUUGGGGAAUAAAACUGAAAAGGAAAUAGUAUCGCAGCUAGAACAAAGGGAAUAUUACUCUAACAUCAACAGUUUUUAGAUUUCAUUAUAAGAGUUUUGCAGAGCGGUAAUGAACUUAGAUAACGGAGGAAGGUUCCUUAUGUCAAAGUGGAUUCAUAUAGUCAACGAAAUGAGGCGCAGUUGAUGUAUAGUAAAAGUAUAAUUGAUUGAUAAAUGCACGAACCUGAACAGCGUCUGCAGCUGCAUAUCCAGCUGCUUGACCUCCCAUGAAUUGGAGACCAUUACCAAAGCCACACACAAGUCCAGCCAAAAGGGCCCAACCUCUGCCAUUCCAGUCGUUGAGAUAAGCCGUGAACGAUGACUUGGGUGCAUUUAGUAUAGGGUGGUACAAGAAGUAGAGGUUCAAAACCAUGGCAAUGAUGAAACAAAAGCACGAGAAGUAGAAAAAUGCUGUAUAGACAGUCAAGUGUGGAACUCCAUCUUUGAGAGUAUGCCAUUGAUCAUUUGUGGCUAGGUUGAACGCAGGCGAGAACAUAGAGAAACAAAUCCCAGCAAAGAAUGUUAUGAUCAAACCAAUUAACGUGCCCUUCCCGAGAACCUGUAAACAUACACGAAUUUAACAAUUAGGAUGUAACUACAAUAUGCUUCACAAAAACAUUAGUAAGUUAUUCUGCUGUUGUUUGUUACACUUAUACCUAAAUUACAUUCGUGUUUGCCAAGAAUCUUCUUAGUCUAGUUAGAGACUUAUAGGCAAGUAUAGCGAUAAAAGUGUGAGCAUGAAAAUGCAAUAAGAAGAGAAAUUCCGACCUUGAUUGAUCUCAUAUUCUCAAGUUCUAUAAGGAAAGCUGCAGUCCCAAAUUUUGCCUUCUCAGAAGCAUCUCCAUCCUCCAAACCAUUUGUGCCACCUGAUCGGAUAUUCAGUAUUGCGAAACGUUAUAAAUUAAUCUAAGAUAUAGGAAUCAUAUUUUAGAUGCUCAAGCUCACAAUACCUUGAUUAAAAUCUGUAGGUUUGAAGGAAGUAACUCCAUCAGUCCUGCAAAUGUGCAAUUAAGUUGGACAUCAAUUUUCUGCGAUUAUUGAUCAAGUUCUAUAACAGCGUAGACGCGUCAAUAUGCCUGACCGAAUUUUAGUACAUACAAUUAUAUCCUGCACUUUACUCUUAUAACUAGAGGAACAUGAGAAGACACACAAAGAGAUGAGGAAUUGUAUCAGUUCAUCACAUGCAAGUCAUCUAACUCAACGCGUAUACAUGAAAUCAUUACGACAACCUAAAGCCCAAAAAAAAGGUCGAUUUCCUUGAAAUGAUCAGAAGAAAGGAACCAUAAACAUUGUAGGAAUUGACAAGGGAAGUAUAGCAUACUGAUGCAUACCUGACUCCGUCUUUACAGUCAUUUGAAUAAUUAUCAAGCUUGGUUUUGUUAUCAGCGUUGUUGGACGAAUGAACAGCAGAGCCUAAACAAACGGCAACCAAGAAGCAUGCAACUCCAGGAAACAGAACUUCAGCUUUGUUAAUUUUGUCGUCAAGGUAAUAAUUCAAGGUUGUUCCUGUCAUAAUUAAGGGAAUAGCACAUGUCAUCUUUCCAACAUCUUGUACCGGCUUCAGGAAAAUAGAAGUUGCUGAAGUUAAAAUGAUACCUAUAACAACUGUAAUGCUGGAAGAGACAACUACGGUGACUGACAAACCAGCGAAAGCAAAAGCAUAUUGAGUUGAGAGGUUCCCAAGGCUGAGGACCAUCCCUCCAGCCAUUGCAAACAAGACACUGGGCCAAUUAUCCUGCAAUGUUCAUUGAUAAAAGCUUAUAUCUAUCUUUAUUAAAAAGUAAAUAGGAGUACAAGUUAGUGCGGCAUAUCAAUCAGAAGUAUAUGCUAUCUUGGAAGAGAAUAGUAAUCUAAUUUGCUUUUUUUACAUUUCACCGUGUCAAAAAGGUGCCUGUACAUAUUCCAUUUUCCAAUCGUAGCCCGGUGAAAUAAGCUCCCUCUAUGCACGGGGUUCUGGGGAAGGGCAGACCGUAAGGGUUUAUUUAUACCCAGUCUUGCCCUGCAUUACUGCAAGAGACUGUUUCCACAGCUCGAAAAUGUGACCUCCUAGUCAUAUGACAACAACUUAACCAGUUACGUCAAGGCUCCCCUUAACCAUUUUCCAAUUGAACAAUGCAUUAAAUCAAAUACAAGAAAAAUAGUCCUCAAAACUACAGCUGGUAUAUUGGCUUUGAAGGGCACUAACCUGAGAGAGUUGAGUGAGAAAAUUAGGCCUUUCUGGUGUGCUUGGCCCAAACUGACCUAUGGUUAAAGCAAUGAUGACAGCAGCCAAUAGAUUGGUAAUGGUAUAAUCAAGAUAAGUAUGUUGAGGAAGACGACCUCGCCUUUCGAGUAAAGUCAAUAGAGCUGGCCAUGUCCCUAACAAUAACAAAGAAAGUAGCAUACAAACUAUAGCACCAUCUUUGCUUUCAACCAUAUACAUCUUGAAUCCACUAGAUAAGACCCUUUGUGGUGAAAGAACUGCCACCUUGGUAAGGAUCCAAUAAUCCUAUCCAAAGAAGAAAAGGGACACAAAAAAGAGGAAGAUUACAACAACAUACCAGUGUAAAGUUAGAGUGUACGCAAACUUUACCCCUACCUCGUAGAAAUAGAAAGAUUGUUUCCGAUAAGACCCUCAGCUUAAUAAAGCAUAACAAAUAUUAAAGAUUCAAUCUUUUAAAUUGAUACAACAGAUUAACACAUCCCAAAUUCAUUGUCUGCAUCAAUGGAAGUACAGAAGAGAAAAUCAGCAAAACAGCUUCCCCACUGCCAUGGGGUCCACAUCCCCAUAGACAGGGAGCUUAUGUUUGUCAUAUACAUAUCUGUCUGCAUCCUAGGAAACCACAAAGAAACUCUACUCACAAAAUUCCCUAAAAACUUGAAAACAAAUGUAUGAACAGAGAAAUUUUCUAUCUAAAAAGGAAACAAUUGAGUACAAAAUUAUAGCUUUCACAACCCAUUUCCACAUAAAAAUCAAAUCUUUCUUGUCAAACAUGAAAAUCCAAUUUACCCACCAUAUCAUAUUGCAAAAGGGUAUCAAGAAUCUUUAACAAAAAGACAAAUAAAAAAACACAAAAAAGUGAACAUUUCUUUGGACUUAACCACCAUUUGGGCCACCAAAUAUCCAUUGUUUUCUUCUCUCAAACAGAACAACCACUCACCAUGACAAAAGGGUAUCAAGAACUUACUAUAAUAAUCCAAAAAAAUUGAAUCUUUUAACAAUAAACAAUAUCUACAAACGUGCAAACACAAGCAACAUAAAGGAAAAAAGAAUAAAGAUUUGAUUUUUAUUUUAUCACUACAAAGAAAAAAUUAGAUAACCAACCUAUUAAAGGACCCCACCCAAAAAAUUAUCAAGAACACCACUUUUAACAACAAUGGGAACUUCAAAAUGCACACCAAAAUUUGAAUCUUUUUGAAGAAUAUAUAGCACUCUCCUUAUUUAUUGGGUAACUGUUGAAAUUUGAAGGUUGAAAUUUAUUGUUUUUUCUUUUUUGUGGUGUUAGUUAAUGAUCUUUGUCACAUUUUUCUCUUUAUUUUUUUUUUCAAAGUAAAUUAUACUCUAUAUUUUUCAUUUUCUUCUUUGUAUUUCAUUUUUCAACUUACUCCCCUUCAUUUUCUUCUUGGAUUUCAUAAUUAAUUAGUGUGUACUUACUUAUCAUAACAACAAAUUAUUAUUUUAUUUGUCAUAUUAUUAAGUUAAUUUCAUUAUAAAAAGUUAUAUAGAUUUUAGAAACAGCCACUUAAGUUUUAUUUUAUUACGUUAGACUUUAUAUUACUUUAUCAAUAAAUUAAGAAAAUUUUAUUUCUUUUUCUUAACGGAAAAUACUAUUGACUACUAAAAUACAGAAGUCAAUGUUAGGACUUUAGGGGUUCUAAAUUAAUAACUGAUUGAGGGUACACAUGUUAAUAUAUAUAUAUAUAUAUAUAUAUAUAUAUAUAUAUAUAUAUAUAUAUUGUUUAAUUUUUUAAUACAAAAUAUGUUCUACGAUAAAAUUAGUAAAUUCAUCCGAAUUAAUAAACUUUCACCUGGCUCUGCUUUUGCUAAACUAUUGCAUAUUUUGUGUUUAUUUACUUUCGAAUUUUUUACUUUUACUUAUUAAUCAAUUUGAUAUAAAUAUUUGAUAUUUUAUUUAAUCGAACUUCAUGACAUAAAAAAUGGGACAAAAAAAGUUAGGCAAGUGUCAAUGAAAGAACUAAGCUUAGGGCCGUUUGGAUGGGCUUAAUAAAAGUAGCUUUAAAAAAGUACUUUUGAAAGUGCUGAAACUUAUUUUUAAAAUAAACAGUUAUGCGUUUGGAUAAAAGUGCUGAAGUU
rnacentral:lncRNA from 1 species